GGGUAACCAGCCCAUCAGAAGGCCUCUACACUGGGAAACAGGUGCUAAUACCGUAUAACGCUAUUUUCCGCAUGGAAGAAAGUUGAAAGGCGCUUUUGCGUCCCUGAUGGAUGGACCCGCGGUGCAUUAGCUAGUUGGUGAGGUAACGGCUCACCAAGGCAACGAUGCAUAGCCGACCUGAGAGGGUGAUCGGCCACACUGGGACUGAGACACGGCCCAGACUCCUACGGGAGGCAGCAGUAGGGAAUCUUCGGCAAUGGACGAAAGUCUGACCGAGCAACGCCGCGUGAGUGAAGAAGGUUUUCGGAUCGUAAAACUCUGUUGUUAGAGAAGAACAAGGAUGAGAGUAAAACGUUCAUCCCUUGACGGUAUCUAACCAGAAAGCCACGGCUAACUACGUGCCAGCAGCCGCGGUAAUACGUAGGUGGCAAGCGUUGUCCGGAUUUAUUGGGCGUAAAGCGAGCGCAGGCGGUUUCUUAAGUCUGAUGUGAAAGCCCCCGGCUCAACCGGGGAGGGUCAUUGGAAACUGGGAGACUUGAGUGCAGAAGAGGAGAGUGGAAUUCCAUGUGUAGCGGUGAAAUGCGUAGAUAUAUGGAGGAACACCAGUGGCGAAGGCGGCUCUCUGGUCUGUAACUGACGCUGAGGCUCGAAAGCGUGGGGAGCGAACAGGAUUAGAUACCCUGGUAGUCCACGCCGUACACGAUGAGUGCUAAGUGUUGGAGGGUUUCCG
rnacentral:rRNA from 1 species